rnacentral:lncRNA from 1 species
UACUUUCCCCGGUUCCGUUGCUACCGCGGGCUUUACGCAAUCGAUCGGAUUAUAUAGAUAUCCCUUCAACACAACAUAGGUCAUCGAAAGGAUCUCGGAGACCCACCAAAGCACGAAAGCCGGGAUCUUUCAGAAAAAGGAUUCCUAUUCAAAGAGUGCAUAACCGCAUGGAUAAGCUCACACUAACCCGUCAAUUUGGGAUCCAAUUCGAGAUUGCGACGUUGGCUUGAACUAUUGAAAGAUUAUGAUCAUACCAUCCAAUACCAUCCUAGAAAAGGUUCUUUAUUGAUUGUACCUAUGGGAUAUAGGAAGAGGAAAAAUCGAAGAUUUCACAUUGUAUUUUUGAUCGAAAAAUCAAUCUGAUUUAUUUCGUACCCUUCGCUCAAUGAGAAAAUGGGUCAAAUUCUAAAGGAUCAAACCUAUGGGACUUAAGGAAUGAUAUAAAAAAAGAGAGGGAAAAAUAUUCAAUAAAAAGAAAUAAAAAGAAAAUAAGUAAACUAAGUAAAUAUAGAAGAACCCAGAU